rnacentral:rRNA from 1 species
AUUGAACGCUGGCGGCAUGCUUUACACAUGCAAGUCGAACGGUAACAGGCCUUCGGGUGCUGACGAGUGGCGAACGGGUGAGUAAUGCAUCGGAACGUACCCAGAGGCGGGUGAUAACGCAGCGAAAGCUCUGCUAAUAUCGCAUGUGAUCUGAGGAUGAAAGCGGGGGCCCGAGCAGCAAUGUUUGGCCUCGCGCCUUUGGAGCGGCCGAUGUGGGAUUAGGUAGUUGGUGGGGUAAAGGCCUACAUAGGCGACGAUCCGUAGCUGGUCAGAGAGGACGGCCAGCGGGACUGGGACUGGGACAGGGCCCAAAGCCCAACGGGAGGAACCAGUGGGGAAUUUUGGACAAGGAGCGCAAGCCUGAUCCAGAAAUGCCGCGUGCGGGAAGAAGGCCUUCGGGUUGUAAGCCGCUUUUGGCAGGAACGAAACGGUGUCCGCUAAUACCGGACGAUAAUGACGAUACCUACAGAAUAAGCACCGGCUAACUACGUG